rnacentral:lncRNA from 1 species
UCUGCCGCGGCCGGGAAGUUCGAACAGAAGUCUGGGGAAGAGCCGGCGAAGAGCAAAGAGAUAAUACAGUACUCCCAGCUAUAGCAAGCGGCAGUUAUGGAGCAUGCGCAGCAGCAGGGGCGGCCGCAGGUCGCCGUUCAAUAAUACUCAAGGGAUUUGUACAGCCCUGUAGGAGACACCUCCAGAGAAAGUAACAGCUCUCAAUUGAUUAGCUGAGAGAGCAGAGAAGAGGAGAAGCAGCUGGAUGUCAGAGACUGCAGUUUGACGUUGGAGAAAAGCAGCUUGACUUCAGAGGGACAGCUUGACAGCAUGGAUUCAGAGAGGAGAAGAUCACCUUCCUGCUCCGUCCCCUUUCCAGCUCCCUUUCCCACUGAGAGCCACUUACACAGGCAAUAAAAUCCUCUG